GUACCUACGGGAGGCAGCAGUGAGGAAUAUUGGUCAAUGGGCUUACGCCUGAACCAGCCAAGUCGCGUGAGGGAAGACUGCCCUAUGGGUUGUAAACCUCUUUUGUCAGGGAGCAACGCCGGCUACGUGUAGCCGGACUGAGAGUACCUGACGAAAAAGCAUCGGCUAACUCCGUGCCAGCAGCCGCGGUAAUACGGAGGAUGCGAGCGUUAUCCGGAUUUAUUGGGUUUAAAGGGUGCGUAGGCGGUCCGGAAAGUCAGCGGUAAAGGCCCGGGGC
rnacentral:rRNA from 1 species